CCUACGGGAGGCAGCAGUGGGGGAUAUUGCACAAUGGGGGAAACCCUGAUGCAGCGACGCCGCGUGUGGGAAGACGGUCCUCUGGAUUGUAAACCACUGUCCCCAGGGACGAAGAUGACGGUACCUGGGGAGGAAGCUCCGGCUAACUACGUGCCAGCAGCCGCGGGAAUACGUAGGGAGCGAGCGUUGUCCGGAAUUACUGGGGGUAAAGGGAGCGUAGGCGGGACUGCAAGUUGGGUGUCAAAUCUACCGGCUCAACCGGUAGCCGCACUCAAAACUGCAGUUCUUGAGUGAAGUAGAGGCAGGCGGAAUGCCUGGUGUAGCGGUGAAAUGCGUAGAUAUUAGGAGGAACACCAGUGGCGAAGGCGGCCUGCUGGGCUUUUACUGACGCUGAGGCUCGAAAGUGUGGGGAGCAAACAGGAUUAGAUACCCUAGUAGUC
rnacentral:rRNA from 1 species